AGAGUUUGAUCCUGGCUCAGAUUCAACGCUGGCGGCGUGCCUAACACAUGCAAGUCGAGCGAGAAAGUGGAGCAAUCCAUGAGUAAAGCGGCGACCGGGUGAGUAACACGUGACUAACCUACCUUCGAGUGGGGAAUAACUCCGGGAACCGGGGCUAAUACCGCAUAACCAUCGCAAGAUCAAAGCAGCAAUGCGCUGGAAGAGGGGUUCGCGGCUGAUUAGCUAGUUGGCGGGGUAACGGCCCACCAAGGCGAAGAUCGGUAGCCGGCCUGAGAGGGCGCACGGCCACACUGGAACUGAAACACGGUCCAGACUCCUACGGGAGGCAGCAGUGGGGAAUUUUGCGCAAUGGGGGAAACCCUGACGCAGCAACGCCGCGUGGAGGAUGAAGCCCCUUGGGGUGUAAACUCCUUUCGACCAAGACGAUAAUGACGGUACUGGUGGAAGAAGCACCGGCUAACUCUGUGCCAGCAGCCGCGGUAAUACAGAGGGUGCGAGCGUUGUUCGGAAUUAUUGGGCGUAAAGGGUGCGUAGGCGGUGCCACAAGUCACUUGUGAAAUCCCCAGGCUUAACCUGGGGCCUGCAGGCGAAACUGUGGUGCUGGAGUAUGGGAGAGGUGCGUGGAAUUCCCGG
rnacentral:rRNA from 1 species